rnacentral:rRNA from 1 species
AWGGUCUAGCUGUUUCAKWGUGUGUAMGCGASGGCSAGUGAAUCCKSWYUCRUGGUCAUAKCUGUUUCCAGUGYGUAAAAAAACACSGCGAGUAKCUGUUUCCUUGUGCUCAUAUGUGUCCACAGGGGGGGAAAAAACCCGGCGUGUAGCUGUUCACAUGGUGUGAAAUGUGUCCACCGGGRGUYSYACACGUGYYRSSUCAUCCCCUCAAUUUGGGAUAACAUUGCGAAAGUGAUGCUAAUACCGAAUAACAUCCAUAAAGCUUUGGUUUAAUGGAUCAAAGGUGGCCAAUCCUUGGAAGCUACUGUUGGGGGAUGAGCCCGCGUACCAUUAGCUAGUUGGUAGGGUAAUGGCCUACCAAGGCGACGAUGGUUAGCUGGUCUGAGAGGAUGAUCAGCCACACUGGAACUGACACACGGUCCAGACUCCUACGGGAGGCAGCAGUGAGGAAUUUUGCGCAAUGGGGGCAACCCUGACGCAGCAACGCCGCGUGAGUGAUGAAGGCCUUUGGGUCGUAAAACUCUGUCAGCAGGAAAGAAGUUACAUGUGGUUAAUACCCAUGUGUAUUGACGGUACCUGCAAAGGAAGCACCGGCUAACUCCGUGCCAGCAGCCGCGGUAAUAC